rnacentral:rRNA from 1 species
CAUGCAGUGGAUGGCUUGGCUUGAUUGCUGAUGAAGGACGUGGCAAGCUGCGAUAAGCUCCGGGUAGGUGCAAGCAGCCUUUGAUCCGGGGGUUUCCGAAUUAUCCCCCUUAGGGGAUGGGAACGCAGGGAAUUGAAACAUCUUAGUACCUGCAGGAAAAGAAAGCAAUAGCGAUCCGGUUAGUAAAGGCGAUCGAAAGCCGGACAGGGCAAACUGAAUCCCCAGUAGAAAUACUGGGGGGAUGUGGUGUGGCCUUCUUUAAAGCCUUCACUAGCUUAGACGAAGUUUCCUGGAAUGGAAUGCCGUAGACGGUGAUAGCCCGGUAGUCGAAUGCUGGAAAGGCUUGAGAAGGUUCAAGAGUAGCGGGCAUUGGAUAUUGCUCGUGAAUGUUGGAGGCAUUAACUCCAAACCCUAAAUACUAAUCAAGACCGAUAGCGCACUAGUACCGUGAGGGAAAAAUGAAAAGGAUCCCUGGCAGGAGGUGACAAGAACCUGAAAUUGCAUGGUAAUAGCUAGAUACUGCGGUUUUACGUCCAUGUGAAGGACACGAGCAUGGACUUGGCUGUAGUAUCGUCCGUCUUGAAACACGGGACAGGGAGUGUAUUUAUGUGGUGACCCGAAAGGGAUAGCGAAAGCAAAAGUCCGCAUCUCCGUAAGGAGUGAGGGACGUGGUAUUGCUGCCAUGAAUCACGUGGAUACAACCUGAAACCAGGCGAUCUAAUCCGGGGCAGGGCGAAGUCCCACGGCUGUGGGAUGGAGGCCCGCAAGAGUUUCUGGGCUCAAUCCGUUCUCGUGACCCUGGAAUAGAGGUGAAAUGCUAAUCGCGCUUGGUGAUAGCAGGUUCCUCCUGAAAUAGCUCUAAGGCUAGUCUGGCUGGAGAUUAAGCAUGGGGUAGAGCACUGAUUGGAUAGCCAGGGAGAGCAAUCUCCCACUAUCCUGUCAAACUCCGAAUCCAUGUUUAUCUGAGAAGGCUGGAAAGAGGGUUGGGGGGUAAGCCCCUGAUCCGAAAGGGAAACAACCCUGCUUGUGGUUAAGGCCCCUAAGUACAGACUAAGUGUAAGCAAGGGCGUCUUAGGUCUAAGACAACGAGAAGGUUAGCUUAGAAGCAGCUAUCCUCUAAGGAGUGCGUAACAGCUCACUCGUCGAGAUUUAGGGCCUCGAAAAUGGACGGGACUAAGUCUGUCGCCGAUACCACAACGUUCCUGUAAAGGAAAUCGCGUAAGGAGGUGUCUUGCGGGAGCAGAAGCUUCUCCGUGAGGAGUGGUGGAUCCCGCUUGAAUAAGAAUCCUGUCGGUAGUAGCAGCAAAUCCUGGUGAGAAUCCGGGACGUCUGAAGGGCCAGGGUUCCUCAACAAUGAUCUUCAGUUGAGGGUUAGCCGAUCCUAAGGUAACUGUAAUUCAGCUUAACCGAAAGGGAAACUGGUUAAUAUUCCAGUGCCUUACAGGUACAUUCGGCAACGAAAGUUUGUCUCCUGACUCUUCGAGGUAGCUUGGGUACGGUUGUCGCCGUAUCUAAUGGAACUAAGACUGUGGAGUACCGUAACGGUGAGAACCAGUCUAAGUCCUGAAUGGUUCCCUUGAGGGAAUCCAGGCAAUCCUCGGAGACCAUGAAAAGGGAGAUGAUCGAAUCCUGUAAGUUCGUACCGAGAACUGACACAGGUGCCCCUAGGUGAAAAGCCUCAGACGUGGCGAGUUUAACUCUGCUUAGGGAACUCGGCAAAUUAGCCCCGUAACUUUGGGAUAAGGGGUGCCUGCUCUUCGCGGAGCAGGUCUCAGUAACAAAGGGGAUCCGACUGUUUAAUAAAAACGUAGGUCCCUGCUAGUUCGUAAGGAUGUGUAUAGGGGCUGAUACCUGCCCAGUGUCGGUAUGUUAAACUCCGGUUCAACGGAGCUAAGCACCGAUAAACGGCGGGGGUAACUAUGACCCUCUUAAGGUAGCGAAAUGCCUUGCCGCUUAAUUAGCGGCCUGCAUCAAUGGUUUAACGAGAUCCCCACUGUCCCAAGCAGAGGCUCGGCGAACCCACCAUUCUGGUGAAAAGGCCAGAGACUUCCAGUGGGACGCGAAUGUUGGGUUGUGAUUAGUGUUGCGCAGUGUAGGUGGUAGACUUCGAAGUUCCGAUUCCGGUUGGAAUGGAGUCAUCGAUGAGACACCACCCUUUACUGACCGCUUCCCUAAUUCCUGAAUAAGGAAGACACCUGCAGGUGGGCGGUUCGACUGGGGCGGUACACCGUUGAAAAAAUAUCGACGGUAUCUAACGGUUGGCUCAGCCCUGUCAGAAAUGGGGCGUAGAGGACAAGACCAAAAGCCAGCCUGACUGGAUUUCGAUCAACAAGAAAUCCUGGGACGAAAGUCUAGUCUAGCGAACCUCGAUACCUCCUUAAUGGGGGUUCGAGCUGAUGGAAAAGCUACCCCGGGGAUAACUGAGUGGUCGCGGGCUAGAGUACAAAUCGACCCCGCGUCUUGCUACUUCGCUGUCGGCUCAUUCCAUCCUGGCUGUGCAGCAGCAGCCAAGGGUGGGGUUGUUCGCCCAUUAAAGGGAUACGUGAGCUGGGUUUAGAACGUCGCGAGACAGUUUGGCGGCAUCUACUGGGAGUGUAUCCUACCUGAGGGGAAGGCCCAUUUAGUACGAGAGGAACAAUGGGCCGCAGCCUCUGGUGUACCAGUUGUCUGACAGGGCAUGCUGGGUAGCUACGCUGUGGUCGAUAAAGGCUGAAAGCAUCUAGGCCUGAAGCGAUUCCCAAAUAAGAGGUAGGUUAAGGCUCUCCUAUAAGAGGAGUUUGAUAGGCAGGGGGUGUAAGUACUAAGCUUCGGCGAGGUAUUAAGCCUACCUGUACUAA